rnacentral:rRNA from 1 species
AACGAACGCUGGCGGCAUGCCUAGCACAUGCAAGUCGAACGAGACCUUCGGGUCUAGUGGCGCACGGGUGCGUAACGCGUGGGAAUCUGCCCUUGGGUUCGGAAUAACAGUUGGAAACGACUGCUAAUACCGGAUGAUGACGUAAGUCCAAAGAUUUAUCGCCCAAGGAUGAGCCCGCGUAGGAUUAGCUAGUUGGUGAGGUAAAGGCUCACCAAGGCGACGAUCCUUAGCUGGUCUGAGAGGAUGAUCAGCCACACUGGGACUGAGACACGGCCCAGACUCCUACGGGAGGCAGCAGUGGGGAAUAUUGGACAAUGGGCGAAAGCCUGAUCCAGCAAUGCCGCGUGAGUGAUGAAGGCCUUAGGGUUGUAAAGCUCUUUUACCCGGGAUGAUAAUGACAGUACCGGGAGAAUAAGCUCCGGCUAACUCCGUG